UCUGUUUGGAUCAGACUCAAGAUCAGUUGGAACCCAUGGCUGCAGCUGUUGUUCUAAAGUCCUAAUUUUAGGAAACUUUCUCCUUUGCUUGCCACGUCGAGGUAAAACAAUUGUCCACUCUCCAUUACAUGCAUGAUUGUCAAGGGUAAGGAUUUUAGCAGAAGCUUCCAUUAAAGUAGAACUCUCCUACCUUCUCUUUGCUAACAAACGCUGCACAACUUUCAAGGCAGUCAAAUGUCCCUUAAGGUGAAAUGUUGAGGAUGAUCUAAGAUGCAAAGGUGAGUCACAAGCAGCAAGACUUUCCAGUCACUUUCUCCAUAAAUCUCUGUUGAUGUAAUGAAUGUUCAAAUAGCAGUUUGAAGCUCCCACACGCGAAAGUCGCAGCAAAAGAGUGGCGAUCUACCUGCGGCGGCGGCGGCCAGCUGCGCCUUAGUCAGUGGCCCUUGGAUUUGUGAGCGAGAGGCUGCAAUUGGGAGUUUUCUGUUUCACGGAAAAUUGUUUGCCAACGAAUGGCGAUGC
rnacentral:misc_RNA from 1 species